UCAUGGCUCAGAUUGAACGCUGCGGCAUGCCUUACACAUGCAAGUCGAACGGCAGCACGGGGCAACCUGGUGGCGAGUGGGCGAACGGGUGAGUAAUGCAUCGGAACGUGCCAUUGAGUGGGGGGUAACGUAGCGAAAGUUACGCUAAUACCGCAUAUUCUGUGAGCAGGAAAGCAGGGGAUCGCAAGACCUUGCGCUCUUUGAGCGGCCGAUGUCAGAUUAGCUAGUUGGUGAGGUAACGGCUUACCAAGGCGACGAUCUGUAGCGGGUCUGAGAGGAUGAUCCGCCACACUGGAACUGAGACACGGUCCAGACUCCUACGGGAGGCAGCAGUGGGGAAUUUUGGACAAUGGGGGCAACCCUGAUCCAGCCAUGCCGCGUGAGUGAAGAAGGCCUUCGGGUUGUAAAGCUCUUUCGGCCGGGAAGAAAUCGCAUGGGUUAAUACCCUGUGUGGAUGACGGUACCGGCAUAAGAAGCACCGGCUAACUACGUG
rnacentral:rRNA from 1 species